rnacentral:rRNA from 1 species
GCGCGAAACCUCCGCAAUGCACGCAAGUGCGACGGGGGGACCCCAAGUGCCACUCUUAACGGGGUGGCUUUUCAGGAGUGUAAAAAGCUCCUGGAAUAAGGGCUGGGCAAGACCGGUGCCAGCCGCCGCGGUAACACCGGCAGCUCGAGUGGUAGCCGCGUUUAUUGGGCCUAAAGCGUCCGUAGCCGGUCCGAUAAGUCUCUGGUGAAAGCCCACAGCUCAACUGUGGGAAUCGCUGGAGAUACUAUCGGACUUGAGGCCGGGAGAGGCUGGAGGUACUCCCAGGGUAGGGGUGAAAUCCUAUAAUCCUGGGAGGACCACCUGUGGCGAAGGCGUCCAGCUGGAACGGACCUGACGGUGAGGGACGAAAGCCAGGGGCGCGAACCGGAUUAGAUACCCGGGUAGUCCUGGCCGUAAACGAUGCGGACUUGGUGUUGGGAUGGCUUUGAGCUGUCCCAGUGCCGAAGGGAAGCUGUUAAGUCCGCCGCCUGGGAAGUACGGCCGCAAGGCUGAAACUUAAAGGAAUUGGCGGGGGAGCGCCACAACGCGUGGAGCCUGCGGUUUAAUUGGAUUCAACGCCGGACAUCUCACCAGGGGCGACAGCAGGAUGAUGGCCAGGUUGAUGACCUUGCCUGACAAGCU